CUGCGACGCAGAGACAAUGGCCGGGGAUUUUACAGCGAUGAGGACGGAACCCCAAGGGAAGCUUCCCCGGUGCGCAUCUGGGGCGGGAAAGACCCUCACAGCCCCGAGCUGAAGGCUUGGUCCCGCCCCGUGUGGGCUCAGGUCCCGGGUCGUCCCGAGGGAGCGCUGUGGCCCCGGCCCAGGCUUUCUCCCUCUGCCUCCCAGCUCUGUGCGGUGAGCAGCUUCAAUGCCCUGCGCUCCCCACCAGUUCCGCUCCUGCAGAGCAGCGGGAGUGGGCCAGUGGGCCACGAACUGAGACCUCCGAAACCCUGGGCCCCAGCAGAGUCUUCAGCCUCACGCUGGCUUCUUCCUUGGUGCCUGUUCACAGCAGGGAAGCCAAUUCCACCUUGGCUGUGGCUUUGAUCGGGUCCCUUUCCAUCGGGUUGUUGUUACUCACUGUUUCCAGGGAAGAGAAGAGCUUCCGGAUUGAACGAGCUGGUGAUGGUAACAUGCACCUCGCCCAGAGGGAUCUGCAGGUUCAAGGCACCUUGCUCGAGUCGGAGACAAGUUUUCAGGCAGGUGGAGAGAGCAAGCUGCCAUUUCCUGGGCCUGUCUGACCCCUCCGUCCGAGACCCGCGUUCCUGUCUCUCCUGUGCCCUGUGGACACCGUUUAGUGACAGCCGGCCCACUGCCAAUCUCAGCUCUACAAUGAUACGUGCACUUUUGUACUCGCGCCUGCGCAUCCACCCAUGUAGCUGUUCCUAGUUUAUGACGAUAUCAAGUCUGCUUCUCACCUCUCACCGCCGUAUUUCUCUGUCUGGGACACACGUGCGCCGAUCUGACGGCCGAGCUUUUCUUCUGGGUCGCGUGCGGUGGCCCUCACACGGCGCGUCCGCUCCCGCCCAGCCGUCGUCUUCCUGCGGCUCUUUGUGUUUCCAAUCUUUUGUCCUUUUGGCUCACGCUUUUGUAAUCAUCAUCACGUGGAUAUCACGCGCGCGCGCGCACCGGCGCCUGGUUCACAAGCGAUCCACAAUCUUGCCGCCUCUUGGUGACCGACUCCGCGGCCGUCUUCCGGGACUGCGGCGGGAAUUAAGUUCGAGAACCGGGAGCCACUGCACGCGCGAGGCUCACGCGGGCACACAGACCUGGAUGUGGUCUGGGAGCGCUGUAUGGGGACUAGGAAAAAAAGACAAGAGGACACGUCGGGGCGCUGUCCAAACACCAAGCGGGCAAAAAAGAAACUUAUUCAGCCGGAAGAGACCGGAGUGUCACCCAAACGGAUGGCUCUGGAGGUCACAUUGCUGAGGGGAGGGAAGAGAGCACCUGUUCUCCGGCUGGAAUCUGAAAGGUGUGAUGGGAAACUGGAAGGGAGGCUGAGAGGCCCGAAGGAGGGGUGCGGGGUGCGCGUGACCCUGCGGAGGGCGGGGCGAGCAGGGCCGCCGGAGGACUCAGGUGUGCUCUGUGCGCGCGGGGCUGUGUCCCCCCGUGAAGGGUGACUGCGUGUGACUGCGUGUGCACCCUGUUCUCCUCGUGCACGGAGCACAACUAUCACGGUGUCAGGAGUCAUCCAGGGACUGAGCGCGCACGGGCGGCUGCAUAUGGGGUUUGUUUGACGCUGCACCGUCCUGCGCGAGGGACUUCGGCAUCCCAGACUUGGGGGCCCCCCGGGGCCCUGGACGGUGUGGAAAGAGAGAACGGGCGUAGAUAGGCGGCAGGGCGAGUGAGGCCCCCGGAACACGAGGAGGACCCAGCAGCGGACACAGCCAUCGCCGCGUCUGUCCACACCCCAGGCUUACCAGGGCAGAUCGCUCCCCUCAGGCCCACAGCCAGGGCUACACCGGUCUUCUGUGGACUGGUAACCUCUUCCCAGGGAGCCGACGAGGCGUGGAGAAGAGACGUAGAUCCCCUCGCCCACCCUACGCAAGGAACGC
ensembl:lincRNA